rnacentral:tRNA from 7 species
GGAGGGAUGGCCGAGUGGUUUAUGGCGCUGGUCUUGAAAACCAGUGGGAGCAAUCCCGCGUGGGUUCGAAUCCCACUCCCUCCGCCA